GGUUAGAGGACUUGGCUGGUUAUAGAGCAGUGUGAGAUGAGCUGCUUGGUCUGCUGCUACCAUGACCAAGACUGAGAUAAGUGGAAGAAAAUAAAGGGAUGUCCAAGGUUUUUGAACAACAACAACAAAGUGAUUUUCUGUAGUCAGUCAGGUCAGCGGGAGCAUGUGCUGGUGCCACGUGUUGCUGCGCCCACCAUACUAUAGACAGGAGAUUAUCCUAAGGGCUUUUUGGGUGGUCAAAUCCAAAACCAUGUGACCACCAGACCUUUGGUUUGAGAAGCUUUGUUGCGCACAGUUACGAGGACCCCAUCAGCUGAAGAAGGCUAAGGGGACAUCCACAUUUCACCUUGGUACAGCACGAUGAUCACGUUCAAGAGGGGGGGAUGGACCAGUUGACCUAAGAUGAUUCUGUGGUGUGGUAGAUGCAGCAACACAUAAAUGAUUGCAUGCUUCCUGACCUGACCUGAGACUCUUGUGGGCUGACGUAGGGAGUGACUGAAAAUGAGCAGUGCUGGUGGCCUGUGGUGCUUGGGAUGAGAAACUGAUUCACAGCAGUGAUCACAGGUACUGACAGAGGUGUCAAAUCCAGCUUCAGAAAGUAAAAGUCCAGCCACAUAUUUGUUCCAUCUUCCCAAUAAACCAGCUGAUUGUAAUUAGUUCAGCUCUUCAGGCAGGUGGAUGAGCUAAUUAUUGCGAUCACCUGCUUUAGGUGCACAGGUAGAAGCAACACAUGGGAGGGUUUUUACUUUAAGCCGGAUUUGACAUCUCUGGGUACUGAUGGUUAUGAAAGAUAUCUACAACAUCUACCUUCCGUACAAUCAAUGUCAGGUUUAAUCACAAAAUUGUAUGGAUCACUUCCACCUGUCAGUUACUUAAACUUAACAUGUUCACAUUAAAGUACCUCAUAACAGAAGCACAUGCAGAAUAGGUCUUACUGUAAGAGUGGUCAACCAAACCAACAAUGUAAAAUCAGUGUUAUACAAGUACCCUUAGUUGGAUAAGUUCUUAGAAUGUCUGGAAUUUGUUCUGGGAUCCUACAGGUUAUCUGCUUUCACGUGACUAAUAGGCAAAUGAGCUGAAGUACGUGCGAACACAUGCUUUUCCAUGUAAAAGGCAGUUGUCCUUUCAUAUCUUGUGGAAACAGAGCAUGCAAUUCAGCUCCACAAUCUCGCCGCACCCAUGAAUGUUUCCUGGUGCGUCAAGAGCUUCAGACUUAAAAAAAAAAAAAAAAAAAAAAAAAAAAAUCACACAUAAAAGCAAAUCAUCCAAAAUAGUCGAAGUGGAAGCUGAGUCGAGUACCAUUUUGUUUUCAAGUCUGUCUGUUCCUCAUUUGUAAAUAACAAUGUCAGUUUUCAGUUUAUUAUGUACCUGCUGUAAG